GAUACCAAGCUGUGGACUCUUGCAGACUUCAGCCAACACUGAAAUGCAACACUGAGGGCUUUGGCAGCUGCAUUACAUACUCUGAAAUUCUUAUAUCACUACUCUGGAACCAUCACUGUCCAAUUCUAUGCUACAAAGAAGGCAAAUGAGAAGGAAUUUGCUAGUUUAAUUUAGCUCUUCCAUGAAGGUUCAACCCUGUGUUAUGAGUAUGUUCUGAGACAAGUAAAGGAGGAAGC